rnacentral:snRNA from 1 species
GUGCUGGCUUCAGCAGCACAUAUACUAAAAUUGGAACAAUACAGAAAAGAUUAGCAUGGCCCCUGCACAAGGAUAACACGCCAAUUUGUGAAGUGUUAAAAAAAAAA